ACAGCAAAUUUAUUAAUAUAUUCUAAAUAAAUUUAUUUUGAUGCCGUAUUAUUUAAUAUACUCAUAUAACUUGUGUGUCUACUCUGUAAUAUUGAGUUUGGUAUUUUCCAAGAAUAAUCAAUGAUCAAGAAAAAGUUGUUUAAACUUUCAAAUUAGUCAACAAAUAUAUAAAAAAACUCCGCCAAGCAUAUGUUAAUAAAAAGAAAUUUAUAUUCUAAAUACAAAAAACUAAAAUUAUGUUUUAAUUAUUAAAAACAGGUGUAGUGGCGAAUGCUCAAAAAGGACGACCAGUCCGAAAAAAAUGUGUUGAACAAUACCCGGACCCAAAUGGAAAAUGUGUUUUCGACCAAUGUAAAGCCCAAUAUACCAAAAACAGAAAAGGAGGGCUAGCUAGAUGCAUUGAUACUGGUAAAGGACACAUGCAAUGCCGAUGCGAUUAUCAUUGUUGAUUUUUAUCUACGUUGAAACUCAAAUAAUAUUUAUAAUAAUACAAUAAUACUGCCUCAUUAUCAAUGAAAAGAAUUUAAAUAUUAAUAAUUUUGUUGGUGAUUGUUGUGUAAUAAGGUGUACUAGAUUACUAAAUAUAAAUCCAAAUUAACAUAUUUCUGUCUUUUUGUACAAUAACGUUAAAUAACCGAAAAAAUUAAAUGAUAAUUAGCAGUUAUUUCAUAUAGAAGCUGAAAUUUUUUUAAUAUUUUUUAUUUUACAUUUAACCAUUUAUCAUUUUUACAAUCAAAAUCAGAUUUUUUAAGAUAUUUAUAUUUCAAAGAGAUUUAACAAAAAAAAAAGUGUUAACCAUUCCAUUGGAAUCAACAAAGCAAGAAUCACAUUUAUCUUAAAUAUAACUGAGGUAGAUGCAUUGAUACAUGCCAAGGACACAUGCAAUGCAGAUGCGAUUAUCAUUGUUGAUUUUUAUCAACGUUGAAACUCAAAGCAAUAUUUAUACUAUUGCAAUAAUACUACCACUUUAUCAAUGAAAAGAAUUACAAUAUUAAUAAUUUUGUUGGUGAUUGUAGUGUAAUAAGGUGUACUAGAUUACUAAAUAAAAAUAACAAAUUUGCAUAUUUCUGUCUUAUUGUACAAUAACGUGAAAUAACCAAAAAAAUAAAUUAGAAUUAGUAGUUAUUUCAUAUAGAAGCUGAAAGAAUUUUUUUUUUAACAUUUUACCAUUUAUCAAUUUCACAAUCAAAAUCAGAUUUUUAAAGAUACUUAUAUUCCAAAGAGAUGUUACAAAAAAAAAAAAAGUGUUAACCAUUUCACUGGAAUCAGCAAAAGCAAGAAUCACAUUUAUUUUAUGAAUUCAUGUUCGGCUGCGGUUUUGGAAGAGUUUCCUGAUAUCAUCUUUGCUUAUAGAUAUAGUGAUGAAUACAUGGUAUUAAGCUCACUUUCUUGUCUUUGUUUGUCUUACACUCACUCUAUAUAUCACUGUUAUCCCUUUUUAAUUGUUUUACGCAGCAUUGUAUUAAAAAAAACCUCAAGAUUCUACCAGAGACGAGCCAGAUAUUAUUGAUCUCAUGUAAGCCUUUUUCUCCAAUAUUAUGUAAUUCGCCUUCUCCGGAUAUUGAAACUCAGACCUCCUGGUGUAGAAAUAUUAAUGAACCCUCUAUCAAACCACCGUACCAAAAGGACUUCAAUUCUAAUGAAUUUGCUUAUAUAACUUUUCUUUCGUGUCACUUAUAUAUAUAAUAUUGUUAAAAAUGUAUAUAAAGAUAUAUAUAUAUAUAUAUAUAUAUAUAUAACUCUUUUUAUAUUUCACUUAAAAAUGAAUUUUUAUUUUAUUAGACCAAAUUACCAUUAAUCAUUUAUUUUUCGGUUUCUUUUUUUUAACUAGGUAUUGUAUAAAUUUUGAAUUUGUGACUUCAUAGAAUUUGAUUUCUUAUGUAUAUCGAUAAAUAUUUUCAAUAAAAUUUAAAAUAAAUGAGUCAAAAUUUUUAUCUAUUAAAUAAAUAAAAUUAGAAUUGUCAUUUUUUUGGGGUCAAACUAGAUCCUUAUAUUUUGGCAUUUUAAACGCGACUUAACUUAAUUUAGAUAUAUUUAAUUUUGUGAUUGAUCUAUAAAUAUACUUCUCGGUCUUUCUUAAUUUUAAAACACUAUUAGUUCAUUAUUUAAUUUAUUCUGUCAGAAAAAAAAAUAAGAUGAAAAUUUAUUAUCGAUCAUCGCUUAUUGGUCUCGUCAUGCUCACAAUUCUUCUGCUUGGUGUAGUGGCGAAUGCUCAAAAAGGACGACCAGUCCGAAAAAAAUGUGUUGAACAAUACCCGGACCCAAAUGGAAAAUGUGUUUUCGACCAAUGUAAAGCCCAAUAUACCAAAAACAGAAAAGGAGGGCUAGCUAGAUGCAUUGAUACUGGCAAAGGACACAUGCAAUGCCGAUGCGAUUAUCAUUGUUGAUUUUUAUCUAUGUUGAAACUCAAAUAAUAUUUAUAAUAAUACAAUAAUACUGCCUCAUUAUCAAUGAAAAGAAUUUAAAUAUUAAUAAUUUUGUUGGUGAUUGUUGUGUAAUAAGGUGUACUAGAUUACUAAAUAUAAAUCCAAAUUCACAUAUUUCUGUCUUUUUGUACAAUAACGUUAAAUAACCGAAAAAAUUAAAUGAUAAUUAGUAGUUAUUUCAUAUAGAAGCUGAAAUUUUUUUAAUAUUUUUUAUUUUACAUUUAACCAUUUAUCAUUUUUACAAUCAAAAUCAGAUUUUUUAAGAUAUUUAUAUUUCAAAGAGAUUUAACAAAAAAAAGUGUUAACCAUUCCAUUGGAAUCAACAAAGCAAGAAUCACAUUUAUCUUAAAUAUAACUGAGGUAGAUGCAUUGAUACAUGCCAAGGACACAUGCAAUGCAGAUGCGAUUAUCAUUGUUGAUUUUUAUCAACGUUGAAACUCAAAGCAAUAUUUAUACUAUUGCAAUAAUACUACCACUUUAUCAAUGAAAAGAAUUACAAUAUUAAUAAUUUUGUUGGUGAUUGUAGUGUAAUAAGGUGUACUAGAUUACUAAAUAAAAAUAACAAAUUUGCAUAUUUCUGUCUUAUUGUACAAUAACGUGAAAUAACCAAAAAAAUAAAUUAGAAUUAGUAGUUAUUUCAUAUAGAAGCUGAAAGAAUUUUUUUUUUAACAUUUUACCAUUUAUCAAUUUCACAAUCAAAAUCAUAUUUUUAAAGAUAAUUAUAUUCCAAAGAGAUGUUACAAAAAAAAAAAAGUGUUAACCAUUUCACUGGAAUCAGCAAAAGCAAGAAUCACAUUUAUUUUAUGAAUUCAUGUUCGGCUGCGGUUUUGGAAGAGUUUCCUGAUAUCAUCUUUGCUUAUAGAUAUAGUGAUGAAUACAUGGUCUAAUGCUCACUUUCUUGUUUUUGUUUGUCUUACACUCACUCUAUAUAUCACCUUUAUCUCUUUUCAAUUGUUUUACGCAGCUUUGUACUCAAGAAAACCUCAAGAUUCUACCAGAGACGAGCCAGAUAUUAUUGAUCUCAUGUAAGCCUUUUUCUCCAAUAUUCUGUAAUUCGCCUUCUCCGGAUAUUGAAACUCAGACCUCCUGGUGUAGAAAUAUUAAUGAACCCUCUAUCAAACCACCGUACCAAAAGGACUUCAAUUCUAAUGAAUUUGCUUAUGUAACUUUUCUUUCGUGUCACUUAUAUAUAUAAUAUUGUUAAAAAUGUAUAUAAAGAUAUAUAUAUAACUCUUUUUAUAUUUCACUUUAAAAAUGAAUUUUUAUUUUAUUAGACCAAAUUACCAUUAAUCAUUUAUUUUUCGGUUUCAUUUUUUUAAACUAGGUAUUGUAUAAAUUUUGAAUUUGUGACUUCAUAGAAUUUGAUUUCUUAUGUAUAUCGAUAAAUAUUUUCAAUAAAAUUUAAAAUAAAUGAGUCAAAAUUUUUAUCUAUUAAAUAAAUAAAAUUAGAAUUGUCAUUUUUUUGGGGUCAAACUAGAUCCUUAUAUUUUGGCAUUUUAAACGCGACUUAACUUAAUUUAGAUAUAUUUAAUUUUGUGAUUGAUCUAUAAAUAUACUUCUCGGUCUUUCUUAAUUUUAAAACACUAUUAGUUCAUUAUUUAAUUUAUUAUGUCAGAAAAAAAAUAAGAUGAAAAUUUAUUAUCGAUCAUCGCUUAUUGGUCUCGUCAUGCUCACAAUUCUUCUGCUUGUGGUGAAUGCUCAAAAAGGUGGACCAGUCCGAAAACAAUGUGUUGAACAAUACCCGGACCCAAAUGGAAAAUGUGUUAUCGACCAAUGUAAA